AACGAACGCUGGCGGCAGGCCUAACACAUGCAAGUCGAACGCUGUAGCAAUACAGAGUGGCAGACGGGUGAGUAACACGUGGGAAUCUACCUGGAGGUACGGAAUAGCUCAGGGAAACUUGAGGUAAUACCGUAUACGCCCUUACGGGGAAAGAUUUAUCGCCUUCAGAUGAGCCCGCGUCUGAUUAGCUAGUUGGUGAGGUAAUGGCUCACCAAGGCGACGAUCAGUAGCUGGUUUGAGAGAAUGACCAGCCACACUGGGACUGAGACACGGCCCAGACUCCUACGGGAGGCAGCAGUGGGGAAUAUUGGACAAUGGGCGCAAGCCUGAUCCAGCCAUGCCGCGUGAGUGACGAAGGCCUUAGGGUUGUAAAGCUCUUUUGGCGGGGACGAUAAUGACGGUACCCGCAGAAUAAGCCCCGGCUAACUUCGUG
rnacentral:rRNA from 1 species